UACGUAGGGGGCAAGCGUUGUCCGGAAUCAUUGGGCGUAAAGAGCGUGUAGGCGGCCCGAUAAGUCGGCUGUGAAAGUCCAGGGCUCAACCCUGGGAUGCCGGUGGAUACUGUCGGGCUCGAGUCCGGAAGAGGAGUGUGGAAUUCCUGGUGUAGCGGUGAAAUGCGCAGAUAUCAGGAGGAACACCAAUGGCGAAGGCAGCUCGCUGGGACGUUACUGACGCUGAGACGCGAAAGCGUGGGGAGCAAACAGG
rnacentral:rRNA from 1 species